UGGGUCUCCGCCGCGGCGACUGGACGCCGGCGCUGGCAACCGGGAGUCGCGGCCGGGGUACUGCGGGCUGACGAGCGCCCUGCGAGACCAAGAUUGCAGCAGAAGAGGCAGCCUGGAGAAGGCUCGGCCUGGCUGACUUCCUGUGACCCAGAGCCCAAGCUGUCUCCACCUCCCUGUCUCAGGAGCCCGGGCACUGCCUGCCCUGAGAAAUGCUGGAAGCUGGGCGAGGCUCCAGGCCAGGGGACCUGUUUUUCCUGUUUCCCACAGAGUUCCCUGCAGCUCGGUCCAGGGGUCCAGGCAGGGCGAUGGCCACAGGCCCGGGCCUCUGGAAUGGCACCACCAAUGGCACCUGGGAUGGGGAUGAGCUGGGCUACAAGUGCCGCUUCAAUGAGAACUUCAAGUACGUGCUACUGCCUGUGUCCUACGGCGUGGUGUGCGUGCUCGGGCUGUGUCUGAACGCCGUGGCUCUCUACAUCUUCCUGUGCCGCCUCAAGACCUGGAACGCCUCCACCACAUACAUGUUCCACUUGGCCAUGUCGGAUGCGCUGUACGCGGCCUCCCUGCCCCUGCUGGUCUAUUACUACGCCCGUGGUGACCACUGGCCCUUCAGCACAGUGCUCUGCAAGCUGGUGCGCUUCCUCUUCUACACCAACCUUUACUGCAGCAUCCUCUUCCUCACGUGCAUCAGUGUGCACCGAUGCCUGGGUGUCUUGUGUCCACUGCGCUCACUGCGCUGGGGCCGGGCCCGCUAUGCCCGCAGGGUAGCCGUCGCCGUGUGGGUGCUGGUGCUGGCCUGCCAGGCACCCGUGCUUUACUUCGUCACCACCAGUGCACGUGGUGGCCGCAUUACCUGCCACGACACCUCGGCACCCGAGCUCUUCAGCCACUUCGUGGCCUACAGCUCCGUCAUGCUGAGCCUGCUCUUCGCGGUGCCCUUCGCCAUCAUCCUGGUCUGUUAUGUGCUUAUGGCUCGGCGGCUGCUAAAGCCGACCUACGGGACCUCGGGAGGCCUGCCGCGGGCCAAGCGCAAGUCGGUGCGCACCAUUGCCGUGGUGCUAGCUGUCUUCGCCCUCUGCUUCCUGCCUUUCCACGUCACCCGCACCCUCUACUACUCCUUCCGCUCGCUGGACCUCAGCUGCCACACCCUCAACGCCAUCAACAUGGCUUACAAGGUCACCCGGCCGCUGGCCAGCGCCAACAGUUGCCUUGACCCUGUGCUCUACUUCCUGGCUGGGCAGAGGCUCGUGCGCUUUGCUCGGGAUGCCAAGCCACCCACAGGCCCCACCCCUACCACCCAGCCUCGCCGCAGGCUGGGCCUGCACAGGUUCAACAGAACUGACACUAAGAGGACAGAAGACUCGGCCAGCAGUGAGAACUCUAGACAGACAGAGUCCACACCGUCUGGUGGUGAAAACACUAAGGACAUCUGGCUGUAGGACCUGAACCCCUUGGGCCUGUGCCAGUUUGUGUCGGGUGGGACUGUAGACUUGUUCAAAUGGGACAGUCUCCCCAGAUAUGGACCAUCAGUGAAUCAGGCAGAAUGGUCAAGGGGACCGUGACCCCAGUGCUCUGUCAUUUGACAGGGGCGCAGUUUGUUCUCUGUGGUCCAGAGCUCAGCAGUCCCCACAUCCCCAGUCACCAUUUGUAUGUGAGAUUUGGGGAGUAAGGUUUUAAGAAAGGCAAGGGUUUGGGGCCAGUGCUGCCCCUGGCCUGAAUCCCACGUAAAUACCUGGCUGUACCUGCCAAGGUACCUAGGCUGGGCUCCAGACUAAUCAAGUCAAGUGGAGAAACAGGCCCAGAGAGGAAAGUGACUUAACCAAGGUCACACAGCCAAGCCUGCGCCUGAGCUACCUGGGAGGGACAGGGUCGCAAGUUGACCAGAGGACCCUCGUAAGGAGUCAGGGCUGAGCCAGAGGUUCCCACGAUGAGUCGGAGUGGUCUGAGUGCCACCGUGGGCUCAGCUCUGAGGAGGACGCCCAGCCCAAGGGAUGAACGUCUGGGAACUGAUGUCAUAAACCCAUCUGGAGGCUGGGAGCCAGUUUGAGGCUGGGACUUGUACUAAAGGCCCGAGCCUAUCUCUUUCCUACCAGCUGCUGCUACGGCUGAACCCAAUCCCAGUUUAUAAGGCACCUCUACCCAGGCCUUGCUGCCCUUUCCCCACCUCCUCACCCUGACAUCACUUCCUGGGGCUGUUGACUCCUGAAGGACGCUGUGAAAGGUCACAGGCCCUGACAGGGACCCCAGGGAUUAUCCAGCCCAGCUGCAGACUCCAGGCCAGAGAGGGGCAGGGCCUUGUCCAUGGUCACUCAGCAGGUCAGCGUGGCGCCUGGUCGUGCGCCAGGGGCUCGGGCUGCCCCUGCGGCUCUGCUCCAUUUAGUGCAGGUCAGUGCCUUUGUGGGAAUCCUGCAAUCACCCCCACCACCCCAGCUCUUCCCACCUCUGAUGGAGCUGGGGAGCUGAGGCCAGGGACCUGGGGCUGAGGGGGUCAGGGAGAGCAGCUGGGAGGAGUAAAUGCCUGCUGACUGGCCUACAGCAGCUCUUCUCAGUGAGCUCCAUGCAACGGGGGCAGGGGCCCUGGCACAUAGGGGUCUCUGCCCCGGGUGGCAUUUGUCCCAGGGCCCAGGAGGGACACUCUCACCCUCCAAAGGCUAGGAAAGGCCCUGGCCAACGUGCCCUCCAGACACAGUUACUCCUAUCUUGGUCCAGGUCAGGCCACCAAAGCUACCCCUCUGCCACCACCCUUGUCAAGGCAGAUUUGGGCUGAUCUGUUUAGAGCCAGGCCCCUGAGGAAGGGAGCUAAGGUACUGACCCAUGUCCCAGGCACCAGGCAGGGCCCUCUCACAUCCAUUAUUAUUUAUUCUUUACCACCACCGUGUGAAAUAGACAUUAUUACCCCCAUUUAGCAGAUGAGAGGACAGGCUCUGAGAGGUGAGGACUUGCUCCAGGUCAUACAGGCAGUAAAUGGGUGAGUCAAGAUUAAGUUCAGGUCCAUCUGAUGCCCAGAUUAGUUCCCUUUCCAGUAUCCCAUGCCACUUGCAACCCCUGCGGGGCAGGAGAGUUUGUAAGCGACCCUUUGUGUGAUUCAAGAUGAGAGAGGCAGUCUAGUGAGGAUGGAGUUAAGAGCACCAGUUCUCUGCCCAGACCACCUGCGUUUGAGGGUUGUCUCCACUUCUUCCAGCUGUGGCAUCUUGGGCAAAUCAAUCUUGCAGCACCUCCAUUUUCUCAUUUCUAGAAGGAGAUACUACCUCCCAUGUAGGGCAUUGGGAGGCUUACCUGAAUGGAUACACAUGAAGCACUUAGAACAGGGCCUGGCACAUGAUAAGCGUUUACACGCCAGGCACUGUGCCAAGGGGAUACAGAGGCGAGCCAGCUGGACCCUGCCCUCAGGGAGUUGACAUAACUUAAUAAGUAACCACAUUGGGAUAAGUGAUUUGAAGGAAAGGACAGUGUGUACGGCCAGUGAGCAAUAGAGUGUCCCCUGUGGCUGAGGCUUCCCCAGGGUGUGGGAGGAAAGAGCAGGUCCAUCCUGGGGUGAGGUGUGGGACCACCCUCUGCCCUGCUUGGCACUGGGUGGCUCUCAGGCUCUUGAGCUUGUGUGUGUUUACAGAACCUUGUCCAGGUGAUGGGCUGUGGAAGGGCAGUAAGGAGAAGUGAUGGCAGGAGGAGGAAGAGGAGGAUGCCUCUGAUCUUCCAGAGCCCGCCCCUAUGGGCUCGAGGGCUCCCACCCACCCAUGGCAGCAGGCUUAGCCAUUUCUCCCUGACUGGUGGUGCCCACCACAGGGUGCUGCAGCCUCUCCUUGGUUUAUCCAAGAGUCAGAGACCCAGCGCUGCAUGACUGGCCUGGAGCUGGGCCAGAGCGGGCAAUGGAUGGACAGUUUUUGCUGUGUGACCUGAGGCCAACUGCUUGCCCUCUCUGGGUCACUCUAUAGAACCUGGAGACCUUGCUUCCCACAUUCCAGUUCUCCCUACCUUAGGGCAGCAGCCACCCAGAUUUUUCAUCAAAGACACAACUAACAGCUACUCCCCCAGGCACUCCCAAGGCCCCAUGAGCCCUCAGUUCUGAGGACUAGAGUGGGGCAGUGGGUCUCCCCUAGUAUCAAGUGACCAGAAAGGUGAAGUGACUCCAUUGGCACCACACAUUGCCUUGGAGUGGAGCCAGUUGAAUGUCUGAUGCUUCUGCCUCCUGUGGGGUAGAGGCUGGAACUUGGCCAGGAGUCACUGCGCUGCAGGAUGAAGGAUGCAUUUACCUUCCCCAGGGGUAUGUGCUUGAGGUGGGGGGUGAAGGGUGGGGGAAAUGAGCCCCAGAAGCCAAACUCAUCCUCCUCUGUCCUGAUGCACCAUGUGACGUGGUGAAUACUUUUUUCUCUCUGGGCCUCAGUUUCCAAUUUCCCCAUAUGCAACGGGCCUUGGCUCUGCCCAGCCACUCCAGCCUCUUCAGUAGGGCUUGCCUCUGUCUUGGCUCCAGCUCAGCCAGGUGUCCAGUCUCAGCCCUGUCCCAGCCAAGAACAAUGGGCCAGACCGAGUCAGCCCCCAGGGGCUCACCUGAGACUAUUUUCAGCCCUUGGAGAUGAAGUCAGAAAAGGAUUUUCCACUCCCAGCACAAUGGCUGCCCUGCACCAUUGUCCAGCAGGGCAUCCGCCUGCCCCAAAGUAUCUCCCCUGCUUCUACCCUCCCAAACUCUACCCAGGGCCUCCCUGCCCUGCUCCUCACCUCCCAAACUUGACAUCACUUCCUGGGCCUGUUACUCCUAAAAGCCACUGUGAAACAGCAUGUGAGCCCCCUGGGAGACCUGACCAAUUAGAAACAGUUUUCCCUCUUGGCAGGGACCCCAGGGAUUAUUUGGCUGCAUUGAGAGACGGGAGACCAGAGAGGGCUGUGCCUCACCCAAGGUCAUGCAGCGGUCAGCAUAGAGACUAAAUGUGAGGCCAGGGCUCUGUGGCUUCUUCCGUUUCCUCCAUCAGCACUGGUCUCUACCUCCUGGGAGUGACAGCUCAUCUUGGAAGGCCUGGGGUGGACAUCCUGAGGAGAAGCCUGAGUGAUGUGGGUGAGAGGGGGUGUACCUUGGGUUCUGACCUUGGAGCUCCCGAUUCAGUUCUGUUUGUACCAACUGUGGCUUUAGUGUGUGCUGAACUCAGAGUUACCAAGUAGCAGCUUCAGGGAAAGGAGGAGGUCGGGGGACACAGGGAAGCUGAGGCAGGAAGAUCAGGGUUCUGGCCCAGUUUAGCCACCACUAGCUCUGUGAUUGCAAACUCAGUUUCUUCAUCUGUAAAAUGGAACUGAUAGUACCUCCUUUUCCAGUUUACUGAACAGUGAGCAUGCAGUAAGGCACAAACGUGCAACUGUUUUAUUUUUCUCCCAUCGACUCUCUCUGCUUGAUGAUGUCUAAUUUCCCUUUUCCAUCCAUAACUGCAUAUUUGGUAAACUCCAAAACUUUGAGUCACUUUUGGAUAACAACUAAAGUUCAGUCCAGUUUAAAAUUCCAAUCGCCUACUUAAUUUACUGCUCCCUCCUCCUCUUCCCCUGUGCUGGGAGGACCCUGCUCCCUCUCCUUUGCGUGCCCCUCUCCUCUGGAUGUGGGGCAAGGUGAGGAGGAAAGGAACCAGUGGAUCGUCCCCAGGACUGCCACAGCCCCCUCUUGCUGUCCUUGCUUCUCUGAUCCUGACAACCUGACAUCAGUGCCCCUCUGCAUGGAGUCUCCCAAACACCAGACCACACUUUUGUAAGAGUCUCUUCAUUAAACAAUCCCA